CCUGGCUCAGGACGAACGCUGGCGGCGUGCCUAAUACAUGCAAGUCGAACGAACGGAUAAAGAGCUUGCUCUUUUGAAGUUAGUGGCGGACGGGUGAGUAACACGUGGGUAACCUGCCUCACAGCUGGGGAUAACAUCGAGAAAUCGAUGCUAAUACCGAAUGUGCUGAACAUCAUAAGAUGUUCAAGUGAAAGACGGUUUCGGCUGUCACUGUGAGAUGGACCCGCGCUGGAUUAGCUAGUUGGUAAGGUAAUGGCUUACCAAGGCGACGAUCCAUAGCCGACCUGAGAGGGUGAUCGGCCACAUUGGGACUGAGACACGGCCCAAACUCCUACGGGAGGCAGCAGUAGGGAAUCUUCGGCAAUGGACGAAAGUCUGACCGAGCAACGCCGCGUGAGCGAAGAAGGCCUUCGGGUCGUAAAGCUCUGUUGUUAGAGAAGAACAUGGGUGAGAGUAACUGUUCACCCCUUGACGGUAUCUAACCAGAAAGCCACGGCUAACUACGUGCCAGCAGCCGCGGUAAUACGUAGGUGGCAAGCGUUGUCCGGAAUUAUUGGGCGUAAAGCGCGCGCAGGCGGUCUCUUAAGUCUGAUGUGAAAGCCCCCGGCUCAACCGGGGAGGGUCAUUGGAAACUGGGAGACUUGAGGACAGAAGAGGAGAGUGGAAUUCCAAGUGUAGCGGUGAAAUGCGUAGAUAUUUGGAGGAACACCAGUGGCGAAGGCGGCUCUCUGGUCUGUUACUGACGCUGAGGCGCGAAAGCGUGGGGAGCAAACAGGAUUAGAUACCCUGGUAGUCCACGCCGUAAACGAUGAGUGCUAAGUGUUAGGGGGUUUCCGCCCCUUAGUGCUGCAGUUAACGCAUUAAGCACUCCGCCUGGGGAGUACGACCGCAAGGUUGAAACUCAAAGGAAUUGACGGGGGCCCGCACAAGCGGUGGAGCAUGUGGUUUAAUUCGAAGCAACGCGAAGAACCUUACCAGGUCUUGACAUCCUUUGACCAUUCUGGAGACAGAACUUUCCCUUCGGGGACAAAGUGACAGGUGGUGCAUGGUUGUCGUCAGCUCGUGUCGUGAGAUGUUGGGUUAAGUCCCGCAACGAGCGCAACCCUUGAUUUUAGUUGCCAGCAUUUAGUUGGGCACUCUAAAGUGACUGCCGGUGAUAAGCCGGAGGAAGGUGGGGAUGACGUCAAAUCAUCAUGCCCCUUAUGACCUGGGCUACACACGUGCUACAAUGGAUAAUACAAAGGGUCGCGAAGCCGCGAGGUGGAGCCAAUCCCAUAAAAUUAUUCUCAGUUCGGAUUGCAGGCUGCAACUCGCCUGCAUGAAGCCGGAAUCGCUAGUAAUCGUAGAUCAGCAUGCUACGGUGAAUACGUUCCCAGGCCUUGUACACACCGCCCG
rnacentral:rRNA from 1 species